GCAGGCCGUUUCUUUCGCAAAUGCUCAUAUUGAUUUCAGCUGGAUUCUAAGCGGGUGGGAGCUGUUUCUCUAAGUGGAAGCUGGGAAAGGAUCUGUCUCCAUUUUGAAGCUGGCAGAGCGACUAAGUGAAUUUACAUCUAAAAUAACUGGAUUCUAAGAACGGUAGCCAUUGGAGCUACAAGAAGACUCACCUUAAGAGGUGAAUCUCUGCCUUGCUAGAUAGGCACCAUGUGGAAGCACAUGGUCCACGGCAAGGU